GCCUACACAUGCAAGUCGAGCGGAAACGAGUUAACUGAGCCUUCGGGUGACGUUAAUGGCGUCGAGCGGCGGACGGGUGAGUAAUGCUUAGGAAUUUGCCCAGUCGAGGGGGAUAACUAUUGGAAACGAUAGCUAAUACCGCAUACGCCCUUUGGGGGAAAGGAGGGGAUCUUCGGACCUUUCGCGAUUGGAUAAGCCUAAGUGAGAUUAGCUAGUUGGUGAGGUAAGAGCUCACCAAGGCGACGAUCUCUAGCUGGUCUGAGAGGAUGAUCAGCCACACUGGAACUGAGACACGGUCCAGACUCCUACGGGAGGCAGCAGUGGGGAAUAUUGCACAAUGGGCGCAAGCCUGAUGCAGCCAUGCCGCGUGUAUGAAGAAGGCCUUCGGGUUGUAAAGUACUUUCAGCAGUGAGGAAGAUGUUAAGAUUAAUACUCUUAUCAUUUGACGUUAGCUGCAGAAGAAGCACCGGCUAACUCCGUGCCAGCAGCCGCGGUAAUACGGAGGGUGCGAGCGUUAAUCGGAAUUACUGGGCGUAAAGCGCAUGCAGGUGGUUUGUUAAGUCAGAUGUGAAAGCCCGGGGCUCAACCUCGGAAGGUCAUUUGAAACUGGCAAGCUAGAGUACUGUAGAGGGGGGUAGAAUUGCAGGUGUAGCGG
rnacentral:rRNA from 1 species